rnacentral:rRNA from 1 species
AUGCCGCGUGAGUGAUGAAGGCCUUAGGGUCGUAAAGCUCUUUCGCCUGUGAUGAUAAUGACAGUAGCAGGUAAAGAAACCCCGGCUAACUCCGUGCCAGCAGCCGCGGUAAUACGGAGGGGGUUAGCGUUGUUCGGAAUUACUGGGCGUAAAGCGCGCGUAGGCGGAUUAGAAAGUUGGGGGUGAAAUCCCGGGGCUCAACCUCGGAACUGCCUCCAAAACUGCUAGUCUAGAGUUCGAGAGAGGUGAGUGGAAUUCCGAGUGUAGAGGUGAAAUUCGUAGAUAUUCGGAGGAACACCAGUGGCGAAGGCGGCUCACUGGCUCGAUACUGACGCUGAGGUGCGAAAGUGUGGGGAGCAAACAGGAUUAGAUACCCUGGUAGUCCACACCGUAAACGAUGAAUGCCAGUCGUCGGGUAGUAUACUAUUCGGUGACACACCUAGCGGAUUAAGCAUUCCGCCUGGGGAGUACGGUCGCAAGAUUAAAACUCAAAGGAAUUGACGGGG